UACAGAGGUCCCAAGCGUUUGUUCGGAUUCAUUGGGCGUAAAGGGUGUGUAGGUGGCGCCGUAAGUCGGGUGUGAAAUUUCGGAGCUUAACUCCGAAACUGCAUUCGAUACUGCGGUGCUUGAGGACUGGAGAGGAGACUGGAAUUCAUGGUAUAGCAGUGAAAUGCGUAGAGAUCAUGAGGAAGACCAGUGGCGAAGGCGGGUCUCUGGACAGUUCCUGACACUGAGACACGAAGGCCAGGGGAGCAAACGGGG
rnacentral:rRNA from 1 species